UUGCUUCAACAGCAUAUAUGCUAAAAGUACAAGUAUACUGAGAAGAUUAGCAUAGCUCCUGGACAAAGAAAACACCCACAUUCAUGAAGUGUCCCAUAUUUUA